rnacentral:sRNA from 1 species
CAAUAACCGGUUUGGUAUUCCAAAACUGUUUAAAAAAUGAACAGUCCGCACUGGACGCCCGGCAAUACUGGUCAAUAAUUAAACCGUUGGCGCGUCAUCCCCCCAAGUGACGAGCCAGUAAAGGCGCCAAUGGACAGCGUGCCUUUGUUUUACUCCUAAUGGUCUUAACCCGGCUUCACCCCCCCAGAAUCCGG